UGCGUAGGCGGUUUUGUAAGUCAGAUGUGAAAUCCCGGGGCUUAACCCCGGAACUGCAUUUGAUACUGCAAGACUUGAGUAUGGGAGAGGAGAGCGGAAUUCCUGGUGUAGAGGUGAAAUUCGUAGAUAUCAGGAGGAACACCGGUGGCGAAGGCGGCUCUCUGGACCAAUACUGACGCUGAGGCACGAAGGCGUGGGGAGCAAACA
rnacentral:rRNA from 1 species